GGGAUUACAGGCAUCCGCCACUACGCCAGCUAAUUUUUUUGUAUUUUUAGUAGAGACGAGGUUUCAUCUUGUUGGCCAGGCUGGUCUUGAACUCCUGACCUCAAGUGAUCCGUCAGUCUCAGCCUCCCAGAAUGCCUGAAGGUUAGCUUUUAAGUGUUGGUUACUUUAUCUCCUCAGUAGCUAGAUCAGGGUCCAGGUGGUCAGGAUUCAGUCAAAAGCAAGUGAUUAAGGAGACUCCUCUGGGGACUUUGCGAUGGAGAGGCAGGAGGGGCCACGAGCGGGGGUGGGGAAGAGAAGAGGGCACAGAGGCCAGCGGAUGAGAGAGACACCAGGGAGCCUGGGAUGCCUGCCCGAGGCUCUGGCCACGCCCAUGCCCUGCCUGUCCCGCUAAGCACACAGAGGAAAGGCCAUGUGAGGACACAGCAAGAAGGCGGCCAUCUGCAAGCCAAGAAGAGAGUCCUCACCAGGAACCAACUCUGCUGACACCUUGCUGUUGGACUUCCAGCCUCUAUAAAUGUUCACAAGCACACCACUGUUUACACCCAUCUAGAAGGCCCCUCCCAGCUGACAUCUUUCUGCCUACCUUUCAGGAAGACAGACGAAACUCUCUGCCUUCAGGUGGGGCAAGACUGCUGAUGGCUGGAACAGGAGCUUGGCACCUCCACCCUGACCCAGACACAAGCCUGUCUGUCCCACUCAAAUCGAGCUGGCCAGAGACUACAACUGUGUUGGUUCCCAAGACAUAGAAAAGCCAGAAGAGGUCGGGCGCAGUGGCUCACGCCUGUCAGCACUUUGGGAAGCCGAGGCAGGCAGAUUACCUAAGGUCAAGAGUUCAAGACCAAUCUGGCCAAUGUGGUGAAACCCCAUCUCUACUAAAAAUACAAAAAUUAGCUGGGUGUGGUGGUGCACCUACAGGCCCAGCUACUCGGGCGGCUGAGGCAGGAGAAUCGCUGGAAUCCAGGAGGCAGAGGUUGCAGUGAGCCGGUAUCACGCCACUGCACUCCAGCCUGGGCGACAAGAGCUAAACUCCACCUCAAAAAACAACAACAACAACAAAACAAACAAACAGAAAACAAGCCAGAAGAGAUGGGGAGGAACUGGAGUGUGAUCUCCCAUUCCAUUAACCCAGAUCUGGGACUACCAGGUGGAACAUUCCAAACAUAUCAUUUUUUAUUUUCUCUCUCCCUCUCUCUUAAGGCACAUCUUCCAAUACUCUGCAGUCAUUAAGCAGAAUGAGGCAGGUCUGGAUGUGCUGAUUUGGGGAAGGUGUCCACAGUAUAUAAUUAACUGGAAAAAGCUAUCAUGGAACUGUGUGCCUGCAACGAUCCCUAUUUGUGAAAGUAAAAGGAGGAUAUUCGUAUCGACUCUGGUGUGCAAAUAGAAAAUGCCAGGGCGGAUACACCGGGCAGCUCUUAGCAGAGCUAUAUUAGGGGGAAGGGAGGAGCUGAGAGAGAGACUCCAUUCAAUAUGCUCCCCCUCCGAUAGGGUUUGAAUUCCUUGCGUUUUAUCAUGAGCAUGUAUUGCUUUUCUAAGAAAAGAAAUCCACCAGGUGCGGUGGCUCAUGUCUGUAAUCCCAACACUUUGGGAGGAUGAGGUGGGAGGAUUGAUUGCUUGAGGCCAGGAGGUGGAGGUUGCAGUGCGCUGUGAUUGCACCACUGCACUCCAGCAUGGGUGACAGAGGGAGAUCCUGUCUAAUUAAAAUUUAAAAAAAAAAUUAGAAAGAAAAUGAAGGCCAGGCAUGAGCCACCACUUUAGGAGGCCGAGGCAGGCAGAUCACCUGAGAUCAGGAGUUCGAGACCAGCCUGGCCAACAUGGUGAAACCCUGUCUCUACUAAAAAUACAAAAAUUAGUUGGGCAUGGUAGCGUGUGCCUUUAAUCCCAGCUACUUGGGAGGCUGAAGCAGGAGAAUUGCUUGAACCCACGAGGCAGAGGUUGCAGUGAGCCCAGAUCGCGCCAUUGCGCUCCAGCCUGGGUGACACAGCGAAAUUCCGUCUCAAAAAAAAAAAAAAAGGAAAAAAAGAAAAAGAGACACUGCCUCUAAAAAACAAAUAAGUCUCUCUCUGUCUCUCUCUUUGUGUGUUUCUCUCACGCCUGUGGAUUCUGUUUCUCUGGAGAACCCUGACUAACACAGCAGAACUUUACAAAUUGUCUCUCUAGUCUGCAGCUACCCAUUUUAUAGAUGAGAAAACUGAGGCCCAGGGAGGGGAAUGGCUGCUCA
rnacentral:lncRNA from 10 species